AACGAACGCUGGCGGCAUGCCUAACACAUGCAAGUCGAACGAGACCUUCGGGUCUAGUGGCGCACGGGUGCGUAACGCGUGGGAACCUGCCCUUAGGUUCGGAAUAACUCCCCGAAAGGGGUGCUAAUACCGGAUAAUGUCUUCGGACCAAAGAUUUAUCGCCUUUGGAUGGGCCCGCGUUGGAUUAGCUAGUUGGUAGGGUAAAAGCCUACCAAGGCGACGAUCCAUAGCUGGUCUGAGAGGAUGAUCAGCCACACUGGGACUGAGACACGGCCCAGACUCCUACGGGAAGCAGCAGUGGGGAAUAUUGGACAAUGGGCGAAGGCCUGAUCCAGCAAUGCCGCGUGAGUGAUGAAGGCCUUAGGGUUGUAAAGCUCUUUUACACGGGAUGAUAAUGACAGUACCGGGAGAAUAAGCUCCGGCUAACUCCGUG
rnacentral:rRNA from 1 species